UACGUAGGGUGCAAGCGUUACUCGGAAUUACUGGGCGUAAAGCGUGCGCAGGCGGUUAUGUAAGACAGUUGUGAAAUCCCCGGGCUCAACCUGGGAACUGCAUCUGUGACUGCAUAGCUAGAGUACGGUAGAGGGGGAUGGAAUUCCGCGUGUAGCAGUGAAAUGCGUAGAUAUGUGGAGGAACACCGAUGGCGAAGGCAGCCCCCUGGGUCAAGAUUGACGCUCAUGCACGAAAGCGUGGGGAGCAAACAGG
rnacentral:rRNA from 1 species